rnacentral:rRNA from 1 species
GCAAGUCGAACGGAACUUCUUUAAAGGAUUUCUUCGGAAUGAAUUUGAUUAAGUUUAGUGGCGGACGGGUGAGUAACGCGUGAGCAACCUGCCUCUAAGAGGGGAAUAACAUUCUGAAAAGAAUGCUAAUACCGCAUAACAUAUAUUUAUCGCAUGGUAGAUAUAUCAAAGAUUUAUCGCUUAGAGAUGGACUCGCGUCCGAUUAGUUAGUUGGUGAGGUAACGGCUCACCAAGACCGCGAUCGGUAGCCGGACUGAGAGGUUGAACGGCCACAUUGGGACUGAGACGCGGCCCAGACUCCUACGGGAGGCAGCAGUGGGGGAUAUUGCGCAAUGGGGGAAACCCUGACGCAGCAACGCCGCGUGAAGGAUGAAGGUCUUCGGAUUGUAAACUUCUUUUAUUAAGGACGAAGAAAGUGACGGUACUUAAUGAAUAAGCUCCGGCUAACUACGUGCCAGCAGCCGCGGUAAUACGUAGGGAGCAAGCGUUGUCCGGAUUUACUGGGUGUAAAGGGUGCGUAGGCGGCUUUGCAAGUCAGAUGUGAAAUCUAUGGGCUCAACCCAUAGCCUGCAUUUGAAACUGCAGAGCUUGAGUGAAGUAGAGGCAGGCGGAAUUCCCCGUGUAGCGGUGAAAUGCGUAGAGAUGGGGAGGAACACCAGUGGCGAAGGCGGCCUGCUGGGCUUUAACUGACGCUGAGGCACGAAAGCGUGGG